UGGGGAAUAUUGCACAAUGGGCGAAAGCCUGAUGCAGCAACGCCGCGUGAGGGACGACGGCCUUCGGUUGUAAACCUCUUUUAGCAAGGAAGAAGCGAAAGUGACGGUACUUGCAGAAAAAGCGACCGGCUAACUACGUGCCAGCAGCCGCGGUAAUACGUAGGGCGCAAGCGUUAUCCGGAAUUAUUUGGGCGUAAAGAGCUCGUAGGCGGUUUGUCGCGUCUGCUGUGAAAACCCGAGGCUCAACCUCGGGCCUGCAGUGGGUACGGGCAGACUAGAGUGCGGUAGGGGAGAUUGGAACUCCUGGUGUAGCGGUGGAAUGCGCAGAUAUCAGGAAGAACACCGAUGGCGAAGGCAGAUCUNUGGGCCGUAACUGACGCUGAGGAGCGAAAAGGGUGGGGAGCAAACAGGCUUAGAUGACCCU
rnacentral:rRNA from 1 species